rnacentral:rRNA from 1 species
AACGCUAGCGGCAGGCCUAACACAUGCAAGUCGAGGGGUAAUGUUCAGCUUGCUGAAUACACGACCGGCGCACGGGUGAGUAACACGUAUGCAACCUACCUCUAACUGGAGGAUAGCCCGAAGAAAUUCGGAUUAAUAUUCCAUAAAGUCAAUUUAAGGCAUCUUUUAUUGAUUAAAGCUCCGGCGGUUAGAGAUGGGCAUGCGUGUCAUUAGCUAGUUGGUGAGGUAACGGCUCACCAAGGCCACGAUGACUAGGGGGUCUGAGAGGAUGAUCCCCCACACUGGUACUGAGACACGGACCAGACUCCUACGGGAGGCAGCAGUGAGGAAUAUUGGGCAAUGGACGCAAGUCUGACCCAGCCAUGCCGCGUGCAGGAUGACUGCCCUAUGGGUUGUAAACUGCUUUUGUUUGGGAAGAAACCCCCGAUCGUGAUCGGGGCUGACGGUACCAUACGAAUAAGCAUCGGCUAACUCCGUGCCAGCAGCCGCGGUAAUACGGAGGAUGCAAGCGUUAUCCGGAUUCAUUGGGUUUAAAGGGUGCGCAGGCGGAAUAUUAAGUCAGUGGUGAAAUCCUGCAGCUUAACUGUAGAACUGCCAUUGAUACUGAUAUUCUUGAAUAUAGUUGAGGUAGGCGGAAUGUGUAAUGUAGCGGUGAAAUGCUUAGAUAUUACACAGAACACCAAUUGCGAAGGCAGCUCACUAAACUAAUAUUGACGCUGAGGCACGAAAGCGUGGGUAGCAAACAGGAUUAGAUACCCUGGUAGUCCACGCUGUAAACUAUGAUCACUCGCUGUUGGCAAUACAUCGUCAGCGGCUGAGCGAAAGCAUUAAGUGAUCCACCUGGGGAGUACGGUCGCAAGAUUGAAACUCAAAGGAAUUGACGGGGGCCCGCACAAGCGGAGGAACAUGUGGUUUAAUUCGAUGAUACGCGAGGAACCUUACCUGGGCUUAAAUGCAGAGCGACGUCCGCCGAAAGGUGGAUUCCUUCGGGCGAUCUGCAAGGUGCUGCAUGGUUGUCGUCAGCUCGUGCCGUGAGGUGUCGGGUUAAGUCCCAUAACGAGCGCAACCCUUAUCGUUAGUUGCCAGCGGGUAAUGCCGGGGACUCUAACGAAACUGCCGGUGUAAACCGUGAGGAAGGUGGGGAUGACGUCAAAUCAGCACGGCCCUUAUGUUCCAGGGUUAAACACGUGUUACAAUGGUCGGUACAGAGGGCAGCUACCACGCGAGUGGAUGCUAAUCUCGAAAACCGGUCUCAGUUCGGAUUGAAGUCUGCAACUCGACUUCAUGAAGCUGGAUUCGCUAGUAAUCGCGCAUCAGCCAUGGCGCGGUGAUACGUUCCCGGGCAUUGUACACACCGCCCGUCAAGCCAUGGAAGCUUGGGGUACCUGAGUCCGUAACCGCAAGGACGGCAUAGGGUAAGACAAGUGACUGGGGCUAAGUCG